rnacentral:rRNA from 1 species
UUUAUUGGAGAGUUUGAUCCUGGCUCAGGACGAACGCUGGCGGCAUGCCUAAUACAUGCAAGUCGAGCGGAGUUGAUAGGAAGCUUGCUUCCUUGAUGCUUAGCGGCGGACGGGUGAG